rnacentral:rRNA from 1 species
GACGAACGCUGGCGGCGUGCUUAACACAUGCAAGUCGAACGGAAAGGCCCUGCUUUUGUGGGGUGCUCGAGUGGCGAACGGGUGAGUAACACGUGAGUAACCUGCCCUUGACUUUGGGAUAACUUCAGGAAACUGGGGCUAAUACCGGAUAGGAGCUCCUGCUGCAUGGUGGGGGUUGGAAAGUUUCGGCGGUUGGGGAUGGACUCGCGGCUUAUCAGCUUGUUGGUGGGGUAGUGGCUUACCAAGGCUUUGACUGGUAGCCGGCCUGAGAGGGUGAACGGCCACAUUGGGACUGAGAGACGGCCCAGACUCCUACGGGAGGCAGCAGUGGGGAAUAUGGCACAGUGGGCGGAAGCCUGAUGCAGCAACGCCGCGUUCGGGAUGACGGCCUGCGGGUUGUAAACCGCUUUCGCCUGUGACGAAGCGGGAGUGACGGUAAUGGGUAAAGAAGCACCGGCUAACUACGUG